rnacentral:rRNA from 1 species
CGGCGAGUGAAAAGGGAUGAGCCCAGCGCUGAAUCUCUCGGUCUAAGGCCGCUGAGAACUGUAGCGUAUAGGCUUGACUAUCUGUUUGCUAUGUAUUCUCCAAGUUCCUUUGAUAGGGGCUAGUUCAGUCCCGAGAGGGUGCUAGACCUGUGCGAGAAUUGUAGUGAGCAGUUGGUUGUUCCUUGGAGUCGUGUUGCUUGAAAGUGCAGCAUAAAGUAGGUGAUAGACUUCAUCUAAGGCUAAAUAUAACCUUGAAUUCGAUAGCUAACAAGUACCGCGAGGGAAAGUUGCAAAGAACUUUGAAGAGAGAGUUCAAGAGAACGUGAAAUCGCUGGAGUAUGCGGAGAGAGUUGACGUAACCCGGUAGCUAAGUUGUUCUUCGGAGCGAUGGUGCUGCUUAUGGUUGCAUUGGUGGCGUUGGUUUACGACGACAGCUGCGUAGUUUAGCCCACUUCGGUGGUGUCUAUCUUGUGGUCUUGUUGUUGUCAGCUAGCGUGUAAGCCCUGUUCACAGGGUGCCA